UACGAAGGGUGCAAGCGUUACUCGGAAUUACUGGGCGUAAAGCGUGCGUAGGCGGUUUGUUAAGUCUGUCGUGAAAGCCCCGGGCUCAACCUGGGAAUGGCGAUGGAAACUGGCGAGCUAGAGUACGGUAGAGGAGAGUGGAAUUCCCGGUGUAGCAGUGAAAUGCGUAGAUAUCUGGAGGAACACCGGUGGCGAAGGCGGCAUCCUGGACCGGUAUUGACGCUGAGGCGCGAAAGCCAGGGGAGCAAACGGG
rnacentral:rRNA from 1 species